UACAAUAGUUCGGCUCUCAAGGGUAGUCGGCUCACUCUCUUUUAUCCCAACAGGGAAGGGGGGUGAGAGUAUGACGGUAUACGAGGCAAUUUCAUUAAUGAUAGCGUUUGGUAUGCUGAUAAUUGCCAUACUGUCUUUUCCAAAACGGAAAUAGACUUCCCUUGACCUGACCAGUUGGGGAAGUCUAUUUUCUAAUAGCACUUUGAGCCGACCCUUUGCAGGGACAAACUAUUGUACCGACCGUGGGUGUUAGCAGCACCUGCG
rnacentral:sRNA from 1 species